UAGCCCUGCCCGUGGCGCGUCAACGUCCCGUUGCCGUGUGUGUCCAUGGAUCGAAUUCACAUCUUUACACCUGGUUUAAUUUGAGGUACGUACUGACUGCAGUUCCAUUAUUAUGCACCAGAGGCUUAGACAUCUAUCGGGUUAAUUGCCACAUCAGUCAUCAGUCUACACAUCGUUAUAUUAUGCGGAGGCUUAGACAUCAGGUUAAUUGCUGCAUCAGUCAUCAGUCUACACAUAACACAUGGCCUUUCAAUUCGGGGUCUCUUUUUUUGUACAAUUGCGUGUGGCAUCUCGGCAUGUAACCAGAUUGGACCAGUGCAUGACGUGCAAGGCUGCGUGUACAUACAACACACUCCAGUCCUACUCCUACCAGCUAUGUCGCCCGACAUUAUUCAAUCCCAUCAUUCCUUUCUGGAUUGACGUCCGGACAAAUGCUAGAUUUCUUUUGCGUUUUCUGGUACCAGCAAUUCUAUGGAUGGUAAUCCUAUCUUUAGCCUUCUCUUUUGCCUGACAAAGCACCUUUCCUUGUUCACUUUAUUUCUUUUAUUAAGCGAUACAAUAUCAGUGGCUGGUUCCAGGGAAUCCCACCCCACAGGCCCACACCCACACCCACCAAAAAAAGGGGCCUGUCGACUAGCUAAGAUCAGAAACAUGUUUUGGCAGGUUUAGAUAAUCGCUAAUCGCAGGACAUGACAGCUUUGGGAACCAGAGUAUCAAGCUCUGUAUAUAGUUACUCCAGCAGAAAUGAGAAUGAAGCGGAAAGGGUGUUGUUUGACAAUUUCAUUUUGCUCAUUGCUGUUGUUGAAGACAAAACAACAGAAAUCAUGUGAUGUAACCGCUUUCAUUUCGUAGGGAAAUAAAGUGGGUGCCGCAUCAGCAGUGCAAUGAUGGUUUACAACAAGCACCAAUCUGGGAGAGCAAGAGUUCUGGUUUUAUUACCGAUGAUAUGUUGCUACUGUGUAAUGAUUUCGUUGACUGUUGCCAUAAACAAGAAUUCAACC
rnacentral:lncRNA from 1 species